CAGCCAUAGGCGCGCCCCCCGCAGCCAAUCAGCGCGCGGCGCGGCGGUCAGAGCCGCAGCUGCCAUGGAGACAGGCGGGGGGCGUGGCCAAGGGGCGGAAGGGGGCGUGGCUAGGGCGGGGUGUGGGCGGUGCAGAAGUAGCCACGCCCCCCUUUGGGCUCCGCCCACAGCGGGGAACGCGGGAAAAGGGGGGGGGGCGGCGUGGGGACGUUGUGGGGUCGUUAUGGGGACAUGGGGACGGGAUGGGGACAUGGGGACGUUGUGGGAUUGGGGACACGGGGGUAUGGGGACGCUGUGGGGACGUUGUGGGGAAUGGGGACGCUAUGGGGAUGGGGGACAUGGGGAUGUGAUGGGGAAUGGGGACAUUAUGGGGACGUUGUGGGGUCAUUAUGGGGAUCGGGGGCAUUAUGGGGGCAUUGUGGGGAAUGGGGACAUUGGGAUAUGGGGACCUUAUGGGGACGUUAUGGGGACGGGGGGACAUGGGGACGUUAUGGGGAUGUGAUGGGGAAUGGGGACCUUAUAGGGGUUAUGGGGACAUGGGGACGUUAUGGGGUCAUUAUGGGAUCGGGGGCAUUAUGGGGAAUGGCAGCAUGGGGACAUUAUGGGGACAUUAUGGGGACGUGGGGAAUGGGGACCUUAUGGGGAUAGGGGACAUGGGGCUGCUAUGGGGUCAUUAUGGGGUCGUUAUGGGGCAUGGGACAUUAUGGGGACGCGAUGGGGUUUGGGGAUACGGGGACAUUAUCGGGACAUUGUAGGGAAUGGGGACAUUGGAAUAUGGGGACGCUAUGGGGACGUUAAGGGGACAGGGGGAUAUGGGGACGUUAAGGGGUCGUUAUGGGGAAUGGGGACCUUAUGGGGACUGGGGAUGUGGGGAUGUUAUGGGGUCAUUGUGGGGAUUGGGGAUAUAGGGAUAUGGGGACCUUAUGGGGUCAUGAUAGGGACUGGGGACGUGGGGAUAUGGGGAUGUUAUGGGGUCAUUAUGGGGGUUGGGGAUAUAGGGAUAUGGGGACCUUAUGGGGUCAUGAUAGGGAUUGGGGACGUGGGGAUACGGGGUCGUUAUGGGGACAUUAUAGGGAAUGGGGACGUGGGGACGUGAUGGGGUUUAGGGAUAAGGGGACAUUAUGGGGACUUUAUGGGGUCGUUAUAGGGACUGGGGACGUGGGGGUAUGGGGACGUUAUGGGGACGCUAUGGGGCUGUUAUAGGGUCACAGAUAUGGGGACGUUACGGAGAC
rnacentral:lncRNA from 1 species